rnacentral:rRNA from 1 species
UACGGAGGGUGCAAGCGUUAUCCGGAUUCACUGGGUUUAAAGGGUGCGUAGGUGGGCAGGUAAGUCAGUGGUGAAAUCUCUGAGCUUAACUCAGAAACUGCCGUCGAUACUAUCUGUCUUGAAUAUAGUGGAGGUGAGCGGAAUAUGUCAUGUAGCGGUGAAAUGCUUAGAUAUGACAUAGAACACCCAUUGCGAAGGCAGCUCGCUACACUAUCAUUGACACUGAGGCACGAAAGCGUGGGGAUCAAACAGG